CUUGCUUUGCACUUGAUUCUAAGCCGCAGGCAGUUUUUUGGAUUACAAAAACCGGAAAAAAAGUGCGGCUUAGAUUCGAGUAAAUACGAUAAUUCUGACCAGUUGCCGCGUUCACCUUUUCUAAUGUUAUCUUUAUGUUGCUGAAUUGCUUCUUUUGUUACAGGUCUCUUCCAAGGAACAAGAAGUAUUCAAGUCUUCUCCUAGAAGAUCAUUACCCUGAUAGAAGGAAAAAUGCAAUGACAAACAGUUCAAUUCAGAGAUGGAGAUAAUCAGAAAAACAUAAACUGCCCAAGAUACAGGAUUAAAACAGUCUGAUACACUGUACAUUUUGUAAUUUGUACAGCACUAGUUGUAAUAAAUAAGUAGAAGUAAAGUUAGGUUUCUUUUGCAAUGGCAUCUGUGUACUUCUUUCAAAUUAAUAUGAAACAUUAAAUAAAUACUAUCAGUUAACACAUCUGCUUUUAACACACUGGCUGAACUUUUAAU